CAGAGAAUAGUUUAAUAUAGAAUAUUAAUUUUGGAGAUUAAAGGUGAACUUUUAGGUUUUUCUCUGA
rnacentral:tRNA from 1 species